CUCCCUAUUUCCAAAACCUUAACUCCCUUUCUCCUCCAUUUCAUUUCUCUUUCACAGAUUCUCUGCCUUUCCUCUUCAUAAAUUCCCAAACGCCUCUACCUCUACAUACCUGAGCCCAAUUCCACCUUUUCGAAAUCAGAAACAAAACGAUCUAUGAUUGCAAACCUAGCGAGUUCCUCGCGAUUACGUCACGCACCCAAGUCCGCGUCUUCUUCUGGAAGGAGGGAGAGAGAACUUAAAGUGGUUAUCAAAUUUGCUGUAAGUAAUUUGGGGAAAUUCGAAGAAACCACUUGUUGUUCUUAGGAAAUGGGGUUGUUUCUUAUGCUAUAAGAUUUGACGUAAUGAUACCAAGAGGCAAAGACAAGGGCGGGUGUUAUCAAGUGAGUCAUUCUUUCUACAAAAAUGUGGUACCUCAUGUUUUCGAAUAAUUUUGUAUUUAACUCCAUUAUACGAUCUUCUUCUUUUUUGGUUGGGUACGUAAGUUCUAUUUUCGUUUGUAUCGUUUUGUAUCUUCUUUUAAAUUAGUAGAUGUUGUCAAUGUUAGUCUUGUGCCUGUGCUCCCUUGGUCAAGCAUAUGUUCCAUGCACACACUAUGCAUUUAAUUCAUGUCGGAAUUUGAUUAACCUCAAGUGUCUGAUUUGUAUUCUGGAAAACGGGGACCUGAUAUUACUUUUUUAUUUUUUUGGGAGUUUUAACGAAAAGUUCGCGGUACUGUUCAUUUUAACGAAAAACCACA